UCUCUCUUCACUUCACUCUCAAUCGCCGAUCGCCGACUGCGCCAUAACUUUCCUCUGCAUCAAAUCCAAUGGUAUGAACUAUGAACCUUUUCACUCAAGUUUUCAAUUACUUUUGAAUAGGAAUUGGAAUGAAUUAUUGUAUAUAAAAUUUGUUAUCGAUUCAGGAUUCCGGUAAUAAGAAUGAGGAGAUAUUAAAAGUGAUGAACGAUUUAAAGACUUUAAGCAUGGAUAGUGGAAGUGGUAAGUUAAAACCCGAGGAGAUGUUUGAAGGAUUUGAAAAUAUAAAAUUGAGAAUAAAGUCCUUGAUUACGCUAAAGGAAUACUAUGGAAUCACUAAUCAUGAAACUGAACGCCUACUCCAGGGAAUGCUUGACGAAAUUGAUUAUAUAGAGUUCACGUUUCAACUUAUUAUAGACACUUUCAACCUAUAAUGAAAAUAUUCAGUCCACGUUUCAACUUUUCAAACAACUUCAUAGUGUAUUUAGUCACUAUUCAUACAUAUAAUCAAAACUUGAUCCUUCAAUUAAUA
rnacentral:lncRNA from 1 species